CCUACGGGUGGCUGCAGUGAGGAAUCUUGCGCAAUGGGGGAAACCCUGACGCAGCAACGCCGCGUGAGUGAGGAAGGUCUUCGGAUCGUAAAGCUCUGUCAGUUGGGAAGAAAUGUCUGAGGGUUAAUACCCUUCAGGUUUGACGGUACCAACAGAGGAAGCACCGGCUAACUCCGUGCCAGCAGCCGCGGUAAUACGGGGGGUGCAAGCGUUGUUCGGAAUCAUGGGGCGGAACGGAUAUGUAGGCUGCGAAAGCCCUGGGCUUAACCCAGGAAGUGCAUUUGAAACUGUCCGGCUUGAGUAGGGGAGAGGGAAGUGGAAUUCCUGGUGUAGAGGUGAAAUUCGUAGAUAUCAGGAGGAACACCGGUGGCGAAGGCGACUUCCUGGCCCUAUACUGACGCUGAGACGCGAGAGCGUGGGUAGCAAACAGGAUUAGAUACCCUGGUAGUC
rnacentral:rRNA from 1 species